rnacentral:rRNA from 1 species
UGGCGGAGGGGUUCCACACGUACCCAUCCCGAACACGACCGUUAAGCCCUCUAGCGCCGAUGGUACUUGGACCGCAGGGUCCUGGGAGAGUAGGACGCCGCCAAGC